rnacentral:tRNA from 1 species
GGUAGCGUGGCCGAGCGGUCUAAGGCGCUGGUUUAAGGCACCAAUCUCUUCGGAGGCGUGGGUUCAAAUCCCACCGCUGCCA